rnacentral:rRNA from 1 species
UUAAGCGACUAAGCGUACACGGUGGAUGCCCUGGCAGUCAGAGGCGAUGAAGGACGUGCUAAUCUGCGAAAAGCGCCGGCGAGGUGAUAUGAACCUUUGACCCGGCGAUGUCCGAAUGGGGAAACCCAGUGCAAUUCGUUGCACUAUCGUUAACUGAAUACAUAGGUUAACGAGGCGAACCGGGGGAACUGAAACAUCUAAGUACCCCGAGGAAAAGAAAUCAACCGAGAUUCCCCCAGUAGCGGCGAGCGAACGGGGAGCAGCCCAGAGUCUGAAUCAGCUUGUGUGUUAGUGGAAGCGUCUGGAAAGUCGCACGGUACAGGGUGACAGUCCCGUACACGAAAGCACACAGGCUGUGAACUCGAAGAGUAGGGCGGGACACGUGGUAUCCUGUCUGAAUAUGGGGGGACCAUCCUCCAAGGCUAAAUACUCCUGACUGACCGAUAGUGAACCAGUACCGUGAGGGAAAGGCGAAAAGAACCCCGGCGAGGGGAGUGAAAAAGAACCUGAAACCGUGUACGUACAAGCAGUGGGAGCACCUUCGUGGUGUGACUGCGUACCUUUUGUAUAAUGGGUCAGCGACUUAUAUUCUGUAGCAAGGUUAACCGUAUAGGGGAGCCGAAGGGAAACCGAGUCUUAACUGGGCGUUAAGUUGCAGGGUAUAGACCCGAAACCCGGUGAUCUAGCCAUGGGCAGGUUGAAGGUUGGGUAACACUAACUGGAGGACCGAACCGACUAAUGUUGAAAAAUUAGCGGAUGACUUGUGGCUGGGGGUGAAAGGCCAAUCAAACCGGGAGAUAGCUGGUUCUCCCCGAAAGCUAUUUAGGUAGCGCCUCGUGAACUCAUCUUCGGGGGUAGAGCACUGUUUCGGCUAGGGGGCCAUCCCGGCUUACCAACCCGAUGCAAACUACGAAUACCGAAGAAUGUUAUCACGGGAGACACACGGCGGGUGCUAACGUCCGUCGUGAAGAGGGAAACAACCCAGACCGCCAGCUAAGGUCCCAAAGUCAUGGUUAAGUGGGAAACGAUGUGGGAAGGCACAGACAGCCAGGAUGUUGGCUUAGAAGCAGCCAUCAUUUAAAGAAAGCGUAAUAGCUCACUGGUCGAGUCGGCCUGCGCGGAAGAUGUAACGGGGCUAAACCAUGCACCGAAGCUGCGGCAGCGACGCUUAUGCGUUGUUGGGUAGGGGAGCGUUCUGUAAGCCGUUGAAGGUGGCCUGUGAGGGUUGCUGGAGGUAUCAGAAGUGCGAAUGCUGACAUAAGUAACGAUAAAGCGGGUGAAAAGCCCGCUCGCCGGAAGACCAAGGGUUCCUGUCCAACGUUAAUCGGGGCAGGGUGAGUCGACCCCUAAGGCGAGGCCGAAAGGCGUAGUCGAUGGGAAACAGGUUAAUAUUCCUGUACUUGGUGUUACUGCGAAGGGGGGACGGAGAAGGCUAUGUUAGCCGGGCGACGGUUGUCCCGGUUUAAGCAUGUAGGCGGAGGUUCCAGGUAAAUCCGGUACCUUUUAACGCUGAGGUGUGAUGACGAGGCACUACGGUGCUGAAGUAACAAAUGCCCUGCUUCCAGGAAAAGCCUCUAAGCAUCAGGUAACAUCAAAUCGUACCCCAAACCGACACAGGUGGUCAGGUAGAGAAUACCAAGGCGCUUGAGAGAACUCGGGUGAAGGAACUAGGCAAAAUGGUGCCGUAACUUCGGGAGAAGGCACGCUGAUAUGUAGGUGAAGCCCCUGCGGGUGGAGCUGAAAUCAGUCGAAGAUACCAGCUGGCUGCAACUGUUUAUUAAAAACACAGCACUGUGCAAACACGAAAGUGGACGUAUACGGUGUGACGCCUGCCCGGUGCCGGAAGGUUAAUUGAUGGGGUUAGCGGCAACGCGAAGCUCUUGAUCGAAGCCCCGGUAAACGGCGGCCGUAACUAUAACGGUCCUAAGGUAGCGAAAUUCCUUGUCGGGUAAGUUCCGACCUGCACGAAUGGCGUAAUGAUGGCCAGGCUGUCUCCACCCGAGACUCAGUGAAAUUGAACUCGCUGUGAAGAUGCAGUGUACCCGCGGCAAGACGGAAAGACCCCGUGAACCUUUACUAUAGCUUGACACUGAACACUGGUCCUUGAUGUGUAGGAUAGGUGGGAGGCUUUGAAGCGUGGACGCCAGUCUGCGUGGAGCCGUCCUUGAAAUACCACCCUUUAAUGGCUGGUGUUCUAACGUAGACCCGUGAUCCGGGUUGCGGACAGUGUCUGGUGGGUAGUUUGACUGGGGCGGUCUCCUCCCAAAGAGUAACGGAGGAGCACGAAGGUUAGCUAAUCCUGGUCGGACAUCAGGAGGUUAGUGCAAUGGCAUAAGCUAGCUUGACUGCGAGAGUGACGGCUCGAGCAGGUGCGAAAGCAGGUCAUAGUGAUCCGGUGGUUCUGAAUGGAAGGGCCAUCGCUCAACGGAUAAAAGGUACUCCGGGGAUAACAGGCUGAUACCGCCCAAGAGUUCAUAUCGACGGCGGUGUUUGGCACCUCGAUGUCGGCUCAUCACAUCCUGGGGCUGAAGUAGGUCCCAAGGGUAUGGCUGUUCGCCAUUUAAAGUGGUACGCGAGCUGGGUUUAGAACGUCGUGAGACAGUUCGGUCCCUAUCUGCCGUGGGCGCUGGAGAAUUGAGGGGGGCUGCUCCUAGUACGAGAGGACCGGAGUGGACGCAUCACUGGUGUUCGGGUUGUCAUGCCAAUGGCACUGCCCGGUAGCUAAAUGCGGAAGAGAUAAGUGCUGAAAGCAUCUAAGCACGAAACUUGCCCCGAGAUGAGUUCUCCCUGACCCUUUAAGGGUCCUGAAGGAACGUUGAAGACGACGACGUUGAUAGGUCGGGUGUGUAAGCGCAGCGAUGCGUUGAGCUAACCGAUACUAAUGAACCGUGAGGCUUAACCU